rnacentral:hammerhead_ribozyme from 1 species
AUCCAGCUGACGAGUUCCAAAUAGGAUGAAACGCACGUCCUUGAU